rnacentral:RNase_P_RNA from 1 species
UCAGACGGCCGGACGGCCGCGGCGCGCUCGACGCGUCGAGGAAAGUCCGGGCUCCACGGAAACACGGUGCCGGCUAACGGCCGGCGGGGGCGACCCCAGGGAAAGUGCCACAGAGAGCAGACCGCCAACCGGGCUUCGGCCCGCGGCAAGGGUGAAAGGGUGCGGUAAGAGCGCACCGCGCGACCGGCGACGGAAGCGGCAAGGUAAACCCCACCGGGAGCAAGACCAAAUAGGGAUGGCACUGGCCGGGAAACCGGUCGAAACGCGUUUCCGCGUCGCCAUCCGGGUAGGUCGCGCGAGGCGUCCGGCAACGGGCGUCCCAGAGGAAUGGUCGUCGCCCGCGCGAGCGGGAACAGAACCCGGCUUACAGGCCGUCUGACAUC